GAUGAACGCUGGCGGCGUGCCUAAUACAUGCAAGUCGAGCGAACAGACGAGGAGCUUGCUCCUCUGACGUUAGCGGCGGACGGGUGAGUAACACGUGGAUAACCUACCUAUAAGACUGGGAUAACUUCGGGAAACCGGAGCUCAUACCGGAUAAUAUAUUGAACCGCAUGGUUCACUAGUGAAAGACGGUUUUGCUGUCACUUAUAGAUGGAUCCGCGCCGCAUUAGCUAGUUGGUAAGGUAACGGCUUACCAAGGCGACGAUGCGUAGCCGACCUGAGAGGGUGAUCGGCCACACUGGAACUGAGACACGGUCCAGACUCCUACGGGAGGCAGCAGUAGGGAAUCUUCCGCAAUGGGCGAAAGCCUGACGGAGCAACGCCGCGUGAGUGAUGAAGGUCUUCGGAUCGUAAAACUCUGUUAUUAGGGAAGAACAAAUGUGGAAGUAACUAUGCACGUCUUGACGGUACCGAAUCAGAAAGCCACGGCUAACUACGUG
rnacentral:rRNA from 1 species